CAGGAAGCCCGGAAGCUGAAGUGAUGGCGACUGGGCGGCAGAGGGCGCGGUGUCCCAGGAUUUUUCGUGAGGGAAGCUGCUUAAGUGACUGCUGCUGGAAGUUUGAAACUUAGCUCAGAUGCCAAUGCCUCUCACAUAUCUGUCCUGAUUUCUCAUCAGCUUCCAGGGCAGAAAUAAGAAGAAAAGGUGAAGAAGUCCAAAAGAAGUGCUCAAGGAGAAAAGGGUGCUUUGGAGGAAAAAGAGAAGAUAUGUCCCACAAGCAGAAUGGGACCACUGCAAGAACAAGAGGUCAGUGACCCAAAGUCAGCUGCUGCUGUCUCCUUAUAUGUUCUUUGACAGUGGUGGUCCCACUUGAUUUUGU
rnacentral:lncRNA from 1 species